CCCUGGGAGAAGAUUCUGAAAGGAAAAAAGGAUCUUGGGAGUUUUUACUGGCAUUAACUGUCACUCCUGAUCUAGCUUUCUACUGAGCCGGUAAGGAGGAUCUUUGCUCUGGCAUCCCCUGGGAAAAUAUAAUCUUCUGGAAAGAUUAGGAUAUUCCUGGGUUGGAGAACUGCCUUGGAGGAGACUUGCCUUUCCCUGAAGUACAGAGACCAACCUGUCAGACAUCCAUGGGUCAGAGAUUCACUUGGUUUAGGUGGCCCAGUGGAAAGAGAGUCAGGCCUGGAGAUGUUCCUGGGUUCAAAUGUGACCCAAGACACUUUCUAGCUGUGUGAACUUGGGCUGGCUGAAAUUAUGGAAAAAGACAACCACAAGAUGCGCCUAUGAACUCUAACUCCUAUCACUAGUCAGGACCUCCAACUGUACUGCUCUCUGGUUUCAGUCAGAUCUCCCAAAAAACGGAAUUGCUAGCCUGUAAUUCUGAACUAAGAGAAUGGCUGCUCUUUCAAGUUGCAAAUAUGAUACUCAGAUUAAUCACAUAGACAUUAUUUAUCACUGAAUUCAAAGAUCAUCAGCUGAAUGAAUCAUCAUUGGUACUUGAAAACAAAUAUAUAGGAAUAUAUACAGAUAUACAUAUAUGGAUAUGUAUAUAAUGAAUUGUAUGAGGAACUGUUUUAUCAGCAUGUUUGAUAUACCAUUAAGACAAUGAGGAACACAUUUCUAAUCCCACUCCCCUUUUUUUGUUCCUAAAACAAAGAAGAGAUAUCAAUUAUUUUUUAGAAAAGGGCUCAAAAACUACAUUUUUCAUGGAAAUUCUAAUGACUCUUAUAAUUCUUUAUGGCUGUAAACCAGUAUAUGCAAGGAAUAAGGUCAUUUUUGAGCUCCAUUUUUCUAUAAUAGGAGUUCAUUCACUUUCAUGUAUCAAAGAUAAUUGUAUUAAGGGACACUAAAACCUUUUGUUAUACCUAUAUCCACCAGGGACAAUUAUAGUUUGUUGUGGGUUUUUCCCCCAACCAACAUACAUUUGUUAAGUACCUACAAUGUGUUGGCACUAUGAUCAGUAUCAAAAUAUACAGAUACAGAAACUAAACAGUCCUAUUUCAAAAAAAUUACCCUGUUUUAGAGAAGUGACACAUAUACCAAAUCACUGUUGUGAUUUCACUUAGUAGAGAGUUAUAAGCAGGUAUUCCUCAUUUUGAGGAAAUCAAAUGAUCCUUCCAAAAUUUGUAAUUUAGAAGCCAACUCUGAUAUUUGUAUGUUGCAUUGGUACCAUUUGUGUUAAUCUUCCUUAUUGAGUCUAUAUGUUCUACUAUAACAACAACAUUGUAAAGAAAAACAAUUCUGAAAGUCUCAAGAACUCUAAUUAAUGCCAUGAGCAACCACGAUUCUAAAAGACUGACAAUCAAACAUGCUAGUCAAAGACUAAUAAAUAUAAAGAAUGAGACAUAUUUUUGGUCAUAGCUAAUUUAAAUUUUUUUUUUUUAGCUUCAUGAAGCACAUAUGUUACAUGGCUUUUAUUUCCUUUUUGUUUCUUUUUUUUCCAGUUGGGGUAGAGAUGGGAGGCAGAUUAAAUAUUUUUGUAAAGAGAAAAAAAAUGAAAUUAAAAAAAUUUGUGUACUCUGCCACACCUCUCAGUGAUGAUGAUGAUGUUGAUGAUGAUGAAGACAAGAAUAAGGAUAACAUCAUGACAAUAAUUACAACACAAUUUGCCAAGAAAAAAAAAAACCUAAGGAAAUAAUUAUUUGUAGUAUUCUCUUCCUGCCCUCCCCUUCACCUACCUGCAAAAAUAGAUUUAGGGAUCAGCAGAUAUACUAUAGGAAGGAGAAGAUAUAGAAAGUGAAGCAACAAAAAUCUGGAGAAAAUGGAAAACUUGGGUGUUAAAUCUAUCUUAUCAUUAAAAAUAAAUCCCAAUACUGGGAUACAGUUGAUUCUCAGCUGAGUGGCAAACAGAGCCAGUAUGUACUUGGAAACUAUGCAUUUUUUUCUUAAUAAUUUUAACAACAUUGGAUUAAACAGAAAACAUCUCAGGACUAUGAUGGUGGUGAUAGUUAAUUUCCCCUCUUUUUUUCUUUUGCAGAAAAAUUUAUUUCUAGCAAUCUAGCAAGACUACACUUUUUGGUGGUCAAGGAACAAGGCUUCCAUUCAAAAUAAAUUACUUCAAUUGCCUUAUAAAUAAAACAUGGAUAAAUGUCUUGGUAAAAUAAAUAAAUUAAAGAGACAUUUGUAUUUGA